rnacentral:rRNA from 1 species
UACGUAGGGUGCGAGCGUUAAUCGGAAUUACUGGGCGUAAAGCGUGCGUAGGCGGUUCGUUAAGUUUGCUGUGAAAGCCCCGGGCUCAACCUGGGAAUUGCGGUUGAAACUGGCGAACUAGAAUCUGGCAGAGGGGGGUGGAAUUCCCCGUGUAGCAGUGAAAUGCGUAGAGAUGAGGAGGAACACCGAUGGCGAAGGCAGCCCCCUGGGCUGAGAUUGACGCUCAGGCACGAAAGCGUGGGGAGCAAACAGG